rnacentral:rRNA from 1 species
CCCGGGGCGGCCGGCCUAAACAUGCGAGUCGAACGGUAACAUUUCUAGCUUGCUAGAAGAUGACGAGUGGCGGACGGGUGAGUAAUGCUUGGGAACUUGCCUUUGCGAGGGGGAUAACAGUUGGAAACGACUGCUAAUACCGCAUAAUGUCUUCGGACCAAACGGGGCUUUUAGCUCCGGCGCAAAGAGAGGCCCAAGUGAGAUUAGCUAGUUGGUGAGGUAAAGGCUCACCAAGGCAACGAUCUCUAGCUGUUCUGAGAGGAAAAUCAGCCACACUGGGACUGAAACACGGCCCAAACUCCUACGGGAGGCAGCAGUGGGGAAUAUUGCACAAUGGGCGAAAGCCUGAUGCAGCCAUGCCGCGUGUGUGAAGAAGGCCUUCGGGUUGUAAAGCACUUUCAGUUGUGAGGAAAAGUUGGUAGUUAAUACCUGCCAGCCGUGACGUUAACAACAGAAAAAGCACCGGCUAACUCCGUGCCAGCAGCCGCGGUAAUACGGAGGGUGCGAGCGUUAAUCGGAAUUACUGGGCGUAAAGCGCACGCAGGCGGUUUGUUAAGCUAGAUGUGAAAGCCCCGAGCUCAACUUGGGAUGGUCAUUUAGAACUGGCAGACUAGAGUCUUGGAGAGGGGAGUGGAAUUCCAGGUGUAGCGGUGAAAUGCGUAGAUAUCUGGAGGAACAUCAGUGGCGAAGGCGACUCCCUGGCCAAAGACUGACGCUCAUGUGCGAAAGUGUGGGUAGCGAACAGGAUUAGAUACCCUGGUAGUCCACACCGUAAACGCUGUCUACUAGCUGUGUGUGCCUUUAAGGCGUGCGUAGCGAAGCUAACGCGAUAAGUAGACCGCCUGGGGAGUACGGCCGCAAGGUUAAAACUCAAUGAAUUGACGGGGGCCCGCACAAGCGGUGGAGCAUGGGGUUUAAUUCGAUGCAACGCGAAGAACCUUACCUACACUUGACAUGCAGAGAGUUACUAGAGAUAGUUUCGUGCCUUCGGACUCUGACACAGGUGCUGCAUGCUGUCGUCAGCUCGUGUCGUGGAGAUGUUGGGUAGUCCCGCACGGAGCGCACCCUUGUCCUUAGUGCCAGCAUAGUGGCACCUCUAGGAGACUGCG